GCUGCACCCCGCCGUCUCCUUCCGCCGCAAUCCCGUCCCCGGCCACCUCCUCUCUCACAAACAACGCUGCACCCCGCCGUCUCCUUCCGCCGCAAUCCCAUCCCCGGCCACCUCCCCUCUCCUUCACCUGCGCUAGGUCACAGGGGGUGAUGGGGCAUGCAGGAGUGCGGAGGCUAUUUCUGUCGGAUGUGGAACUUGGGCUGCAGCGGCAUGCCCGCCCCGUCCUUGCCUCGAGGUCGCAGCCGCCGCGUUGUCCACGUCCCAUCAUCUCGGUUCGGUCAGCACGCAAGCCCUCGCAAGGAGUCGCUGAAUCUUCCUGUCGAUCCGCCUCAACGUGAACUGCAUGACGUGCCCCUAUGAUGUGCGUGUACUAGCUAGCGGCAACGUGACACCUAACGAGGAUGCGCGCUCGGCCAUGAAGACAAGACCAGGACGGCGCGAUUGGAGGGACGACAACGCCUCAGAGUGCUGCGGCCAGCUGCUACCCUGUAGUCGCUGCCGGCCAUGGGAUCGACACGCCCCGUGGCUCCACUAUGAGGUUGUGUUAACCUGGAGCUGUUGCGCGUGUGCGCACAUCAUGCAGUUUGAGCAGGCAAAGCUCCGGCAGUCCACCUUCUUCUCGCCAGCCCGUGAGACGCAAGUCUGCCUCUUCUCUCUGAUUUCCCUCUUUUCCUGAUGUGCUUCUUUGGUUCGUGAUUGUACUUCCUUCUUUUUUCAUGCUCGGUAGUUGUUUGUGUUAAUGCCUAUAAGGGGAAAUCAAAUUCCUGGUCAUUUUCUUAGCUACAGUGAGUUUUCCAAUUUGUCACUCAUGGUUUUAGUUUUCUAGAAACAAAAUUUGGUUCUGCACAACGUAUAUGUAUAUCUUUUGAUGUGCUCUCAAAUCACGUUUUCUUGGGAGAAGUUUACAUUUAUCAUGGAGAGAUCAGGCUUUCUGUGAAGUGUGAACCAAUAAUUCAUGGUUUCUGAAUAUUUUACCAUCAUGGGAGACCAAUCAACCAAAUUAUUGCGAGA